AUUGAACGCUGGCGGCAGGCCUAACACAUGCAAGUCGAGCGGAUGAAGGGAGCUUGCUCCUGGAUUCAGCGGCGGACGGGUGAGUAAUGCCUAGGAAUCUGCCUGGUAGUGGGGGAUAACGUCCGGAAACGGGCGCUAAUACCGCAUACGUCCUGAGGGAGAAAGUGGGGGAUCUUCGGACCUCACGCUAUCAGAUGAGCCUAGGUCGGAUUAGCUAGUUGGUGGGGUAAAGGCCUACCAAGGCGACGAUCCGUAACUGGUCUGAGAGGAUGAUCAGUCACACUGGAACUGAGAUACGGUCCAGACUCCUUCGGGAGGCAGCAGUGGGGAAUAUUGGACAAUGGGCGAAAGCCUGAUCCAGCCAUGCCGCGUGUGUGAAGAAGGUCUUCGGAUUGUAAAGCACUUUAAGUUGGGAGGAAGGGCAGUAAGUUAAUACCUUGCUGUUUUGACGUUACCAACAGAAUAAGCACCGGCUAACUUCGUG
rnacentral:rRNA from 1 species